rnacentral:rRNA from 1 species
ACGAACGUUAGCGGUGUGGAUUAGGCAUGCAAGUCGCGCGCGAAAGCCUUCGGGCGAGUAAAGCGGCGCAAGGGUGAGUAACACGUAACCAACGUACCCUUCAGACCGGAAUAACCACUGGAAACGGUGGGUAAUGCCGGAUGGACCUCCGGGCGGCAUCGACUGGAAGGUAAACGGCGGCUUCGGCUGCUGCUGGGGGAGCGGGUUGCGGCCUAUCAGCUUGAUGGUGGGGUAACGGCCUACCAUGGCAAUGACGGGUAGCGGGUCUGAGAGGAUGAUCCGUCACACUGGGACUGAGACACUGCCCAGACUCCUACGGGAGGCUGCAGUCGAGAAUCUUCCACAAUGGGCGAAAGCCUGAUGGAGCGACGCUGCGUGCAGGAUGAAGGCCUUAGGGUUGUAAACUGCUGUCACGCUAUAGGAAACCACGGUGGUGAAUAGUCAUCGUGCUGACCAAAGCGAGAGGAAGUGCCGGCUAACUCCGUGCCAGCAGCCGCGGUAAUACGGAGGGCGCAAGCGUUGUUCGGAAUCACUGGGCAUAAAGCGCACGUAGGCGGCCAUUCAAGUCAGGUGUGAAAGCCCUCGGCCCAACCGAGGAACUGCAUUCGAUACUGGCUGACUAGAGAAAUAGAGAGGAUGGCGGAAUUCCCAGUGUAGAGGUGAAAUUCGUAGAUAUUGGGAAGAACACCAGUGGCGAAGGCGGCCAUCUGGCUCGGUUCUGACGCUGAGGCGCGAAAGCGUGGGGAGCAAACAGGAUUAGAUCCCCUGGUAGUCCACGCCGUAAACGAUGUGUGCUAGCCGUUGGGAAACCUAGUUUUUCAGGCGCAGCUAACGCAUUAAGCACACCGCCUGGGGAGUACGAUCGCAAGAUUAAAACUCAAAGGAAUUGACGGGGGCCCGCACAAGCGGUGGAGCAUGUGGUUUAAUUCGACGCAACGCGAAGAACCUUACCAGCCCUUGACAUGGGGAUCGCGGAAUCCGGAGACGGAUUCCUUCAGUUAGGCUGGAUCCCGCACAGGUGCUGCAUGGCUGUCGUCAGCUCGUGUCGUGAGAUGUUGGGUUAAGUCCCGCAACGAGCGCAACCCUCGUCUUCAGUUGCCAUCAGUUCGGCUGGGCACUCUGGAGAAACUGCCGGUGCCCGGCCGGAGGAAGGCGGGGAUGACGUCAAGUCCUCAUGGCCCUUAUGGGCUGGGCUACACACGUGCUACAAUGGCGGUGACAGUGGGAAACAAUAGGGCGACCUGGAGUUAAUCCCCAAAAGCCGUCUCAGUUCGGAUUGCACUCUGCAACUCGAGUGUAUGAAGUUGGAAUCGCUAGUAAUCGUGGAUCAGCACGCCACGGUGAAUACGUUCCCGGGCCUUGUACACACCGCCCGUCACGCCAUGGGAGUUGGCUUUACCCGAAGCCGGUGUGCUAACCUUCUGGGAGGCAGCCGACCACGGUAAGGUCAGCGACUGGGGUGA